GCCGGGGUGGUGGAACUGGCAGACACAACGGACUUAAAAUCCGUUGCCCCUGUGGGGCGUGAGGGUUCGAGUCCCUCUCCCGGCA
rnacentral:tRNA from 1 species